UUUACUGAUGUCAGAUGCGAUUUUCUUGACAUUAGCCUUAGAUCUUACAUCCAUCUUUUUCAACACUCUGUUGAACGGUCUUCCCAGCAUUGCUACAUCAUUGGCCAGAUCUUCAUCAAGAUCCUGACCUGACUAUUUUCCUCCUCUGUGUUUGACAUGAAGGUCAUGCUUUUGGUUUUCUUUUCAGAACCAUCAUUCAUUCCCAUCUCAAAUGUUUGGAGGGAACCAAUUAGCUCAUCAACUCUCAUGUUGGAGAUGUCUUGAGACUCUUCUAUGGCUGUCAC
rnacentral:lncRNA from 1 species